ACAUCGGUGGCUUAGUGGUAGAAUGCUCGCCUGCCACGCGGGCGGCCCAGGUUCGAUUCCCGGCCGAUGCA
rnacentral:tRNA from 1 species